UAUCAGUCAUGCAUAGCAUAUCAAUAAGCGGAGGAAAAGAAACUAACAAGGAUUCCCUUAGUAACGGCGAGUGAAGCGGGAAGAGCUCAAAUUUGAGAUCUUCAAGGUUUUACCUUGACGAAUUGUAGUUUAAAGAAGUGUUUUCUGUUGAAGUUUUGGUAAAAGUUCUUUGGAAUAGGACAUCAUAGAGGGUGAGAAUCCCGUAUUUGACCAUUACUUUCAGCUUUGUGAUACACUUUCAAAGAGUCGGAUUGUUUGGGAAUGCAGUCCAAAAUGGGUGGUAAAUUUCAUCUAAAGCUAAAUAUUGGCGAGAGACCGAUAGCGAACAAGUACCGUGAGGGAAAGAUGAAAAGAACUUUGAAAAGAGAGUUAAACAGUACGUGAAAUUGUCAAAAGGGAAGCGUUUGACACCAGUGUUGUUUUCUCGAAAAUCAAUUAAAAAGAGUUGGAUUUUGUGUUGUAUUGACUUUAUCAGCUUUCUUCACUCUUUUCCAGCUUUUUUUAAUGCACUUUUCGCUUAACAAGUCAACAUCAGUUUCUUUUGUUGUAAAAAGGUCAUUGGAAGGUGGCUUUCUCUUCGGAGAAAGUGUUUAUAGCCUUUGACUCAUGCAAUCGGAGAGACUGAGGUCUGCAGCGUAGAUCCUUCGGGGUUAGAUACAUUUGUGCUAAGUUAUAGCUUUUCAUAGACAACUUGUUGACUAUGUUUAGUCUUGUAGCUUACUCGCUUAUGCUAUUUUACCUACGCUUAGGAUGUUGAACUCUAUCACACACAG
rnacentral:rRNA from 1 species